GAUCCUGGCUCAGAUUGAACGCUAGCGGGAUGCCUUACACAUGCAAGUCGAACGGCAGCACGGACUUCGGUCUGGUGGCGAGUGGCGAACGGGUGAGUAAUGUAUCGGAACGUGCCUAGUAGCGGGGGAUAACUACGCGAAAGCGUGGCUAAUACCGCAUACGCCCUACGGGGGAAAGCAGGGGAUCGCAAGACCUUGCACUAUUAGAGCGGCCGAUAUCGGAUUAGCUAGUUGGUGGGGUAAUGGCUCACCAAGGCGACGAUCCGUAGCUGGUUUGAGAGGACGACCAGCCACACUGGGACUGAGACACGGCCCAGACUCCUACGGGAGGCAGCAGUGGGGAAUUUUGGACAAUGGGGGAAACCCUGAUCCAGCCAUCCCGCGUGUGCGAUGAAGGCCUUCGGGUUGUAAAGCACUUUUGGCAGGAAAGAAACGUCAUGGGUUAAUACCCUGUGAAACUGACGGUACCUGCAGAAUAAGCACCGGCUAACUACGUGCCAGCAGCCGCGGUAAUACGUAGGGUGCAAGCGUUAAUCGGAAUUACUGGGCGUAAAGCGUGCGCAGGCGGUUCGGAAAGAAAGAUGUGAAAUCCCAGAGCUUAACUUUGGAACUGCAUUUUUAACUACCGAGCUAGAGUGUGUCAGAGGGAGGUGGAAUUCCGCGUGUAGCAGUGAAAUGCGUAGAUAUGCGGAGGACACCGAUGGCGAAGGCAGCCUCCUGGGAUAACACUGACGCUCAUGCACGAAAGCGUGGGGAGCAAACAGGAUUAGAUACCCUGUAGUCCACGCCCUAAACGAUGUCAACUAGCUGUUGGGGCUUCGGUCUUAGUAGCGCAGCUAACGCGUGAAGUUGACCGCCUGCGAGUACGUUCGCAGAAUAAACUCAAGGAUGACAGGACCCGCCCAGCGGUGGAUGAUGUGAUAAUCGAUGCACGCGAGAUCAUACUACUGGACUGCUGGAUGCCGAAAAAUUGCUGGCUCCUAGAAACUGGAAACAGGGCGUCAUGCUGCCCCUCUUGGUCGGAGGUGAGUUAGUCCAUCAUGCCACCGGCCUAUGUCCAAAGAGUC
rnacentral:rRNA from 1 species